rnacentral:tRNA from 1 species
GAGGGUAUAGCUCAGUGGUAGAGCAUGUGCUUAGCAUGCAUGAGGUCCUGGGUUCAAUUCCUGGUUCUUCUG